UUUGGCUUUAUCUUUUAGAGAAGCACACUAAGAGAUCUAUGGAUGAAAUUAUGUAAUACAUGAUAUUUGCUUUUUAAAACAAUCCAUGAUGAUGGGAGGCAGAGGUGGGAGGGUCUUGAUGGAGAGAUUGGUUCUGAGUCCACAGUUGUUGCCGUUGAGAAAUGGGUACAUAGUGAUUCAUUACACUCUUCUCCCUGCUUUUUAUACGUUGGAAAUUUUCCAUGUUAAAAAUUUUAAGAGGAAGCGAUGAACACACUACCACUACCAUCACUGACCGUGAAAAGAGUGAAGACUCUGAAGUUAGACUGUCCAGCUCAAAGCUUGGACAGCUGCCGUCCACUACACUAGCUUUGUGAAUUGGACAUCCGUCAAGUGGCAACAAUAAUUAUACUCACCUUACAAGGUUGUUUUGAGGAUAAACUCAGAUUAUGAUCUAAAGUACUUAGUACAGUGCUGGGCCCCAGCAAAUGCUAGGUUGUAAUCAUCUUUAUUGUUGGGUGUCUGUGGCCAAGGUGUAAAUUGGCUGAAAAGAGAAGCAACUUUGGCUGCUCCAGAAAAACAAUUGACUUCAGUUCAGGCCCAGGGUCCUGACUGGAGAGGUUUUGAAAGGUGCCUCGGGUCGAGGCUGUCUCUGAUGAGUGGGCUUGCACUGCAGAGGCAGGCUUUCCCAACGCCCCCCAGGGAGGCCCUUUGCUGGCUGCUGGCUGUGUGCUUUUCCCUGCUCGUGCCUCCCCAGCGUUCCAGCCCACGGACCACUUCUCUCUCUGAAUCUAACCAUCUCCCUUCGCAGUCUCUCUGAACCUUAACUCUAGAUGAGAUGCUAAGUCGUCUAACCCAACCACACCAUCAUAGUUUCAUUCACCACUUACUCACUGACAGCCACUGGGUCCUGGCACCGUCCUGGCUGCUGAGGAUGCGGAGUUGAGCCGGGCAGACACGGCACGUGGACAAGAGACUGAGAACAGCACUGUAACUGCCAUCAUAGAGAGCCAGCCCAGGCCUGGCAGCCAGGAUCUGUACACCUCACUCAGCCGCUGUCCCUUAGAAGGCCUGUGACCUGCCGUGUCCUUCAGUCUCCUACCACAAAGUGCUCAAGGAGGCUCCCUCCACGUCUCCUCCCUCUCUGACAUUUGAUGGCACCUCAGGGCCCAGAGAUGCUGUUGUACAGCUUCUGGCCCUGCAGCUUCCAGACACAUAGGCCAAGUACGGUGGCCCGGGAUGGCAGGAGCAUCCCUGAAAGGUGUUCUCUGCCCUGGAAUGGGUGUGUGCUCUGUCUGUGAGUUGCAUAAAUGUACCCCACUGGCACCCAGCCUGAGUCAGAUCCCCCAGCAUCCACUAGACACCCUGGGAAGUCAGAGCAGAAAAGAGGAGCAGCCAGGAUGCCUGCAGUUAAACGAUGCUGUGCUCCAAGUUUUUCAAUAGCAUCUGACCCUGUGAACAUACACCUGGACCGGAAGGAGCCCCAGUGCUCGAGGCGCAUUAGCUCCAUAGAAAACCUGCCACAGUCCCUCUGAGUGUCAGUUUCUUCAUUUGCACAAUGAGUGAAACAGGUCUGUCUAAUUCUGCCCCUAUUUGGCCAAGAUCAGAAAUGAAAGCAAAUGUGAAACAUCUGUAAUCCCCAAAGCAAUGUGUGCCAAUGAUCAUGAGGACAAGGGUGAUGCGGGCCUGGCAUGUGUUUGCCAAGACUUCUUCAGCCUUGGGGGUCAGUACUCCUAUAGGCCCCAGUGUCCUGCCCCCUGGUCAUAUGAGAACUUCUAAGCUCAAGGCUUUGGCCCUGUGGAAGACCAUGCCUCUGGACUGCAUGCUGACCGAGGCAGUAACCAGGUGCCUGCUGCCUGUGAGAGACAGCUCGACUGGCCAAUGAAUCAACAUUGAUAGAAGGUUUCCCUAGUGCAAGAAGGCACCAGACCAGGGCCUUUGGGUAAAAUUGAGGGGCUAGGGACCUAGUGUCUAGAGGCGAGGAGUCAGAUGUGUGUAAACAGCUGCUCAAGACAAAAGGAUGAGAGCCAUGGGCUGCAUGGAGGCCAGAGCAAGCUGGAAGGGAUACUGAGGGUGCCUGACCAGGCCUUGCAGAGGGAGAAGGGCUUGAACAAGUGGAAAAGGGACCCUGGGGACCCACACACAUACACAGCGUCUUUUCAGUAUAAAAGACACUUACAUGAAAUUGGAUGAAGACAUUCAGGAUUGUUUCAUGGGCCAGAGAACUGCAGGACAAUUUGGGAGCUCAGCUAACUGAAUUCUACCAACUGGGUCAUUCAUUCAUUCAUUCAUUCAUACAUUCUGUCUCUCUUAGUUUGGAUACCUUCUACCUUCCCCUCAGCCCCAUCCCUAGAGAGAAAUGUGACAAUGAGUUUCAGCCCUGUAGAAUGUAGGCUGCAGAGAAACUCUCUGGGCUGCUGCACAGCCAUUUUCAGAGUCAUGAGUGGACAGAAACCACAGCCCAAGGCCAAUCUGGCUCAUUGCUGAGACAGAGGCCUGAACCAGGAUCCCAAGACCCAAAGACCCCAUCCAAGGGGAGGAGCCCUGUGCUUUUGGCUCCAUGCCCCAGUGAGCUUAGAAUUGUGAUGCUGAGAGUGUAAGUGAUCAAACAUAGCUAGAAUCUUCUGAGCUAAGCAAUGGGAUUUGGGGUAAUCUAAUGACACACACUACCUUCUUAUACAGGCUUCAUAGCCUAUGAAUGGUAAUGAUUCAUCCUGUCUCAAGAAGAUGGAAGUUAUUUUAGAGUAUGUGUAUACAUAUGAAGCCAAAGCUGUUUGUUUUGUGUGAGUUUGUGUAUGUGUUCUGUUUAUUCCUGAAUGUGCUUGUAUGAAAACUUAUAAUUCUGCUUUUUUUUUUUGCCUGUACACGCUCACGUUUGUAGGCGCACACACACAUUUCUAGGGGUGUAGGCCUAGGGCCUGUACACAUUUGUGUUUACUUCAUCUUUUGCAUUAGGAAAGGUCUGUGGUGCUUAUUCCAGUGUAAUCCUCUCAUUUUAUUACUGAAGUCCAGAAAGGUAAAGUGACUUGUCCAAGGUCACCCAGCCAGCUAUGGUGACAGGGAUGACACUAGACACUAAGAUUUCUGAUUCAUACCCCAGAACCCUUCUAUAACAUGAAAAAUAAAUUACAGAUAGGAAAGGAAGUAAGGAAAUUAUUUUUCCCUCCCCCAAUCAAUGACUAAGUAUAAAGAAGGUCAAUCUCAAAUUAGCUCUAUAACCCCAAAUGUUAAGUUCUUAAAAUCAACCUGGUUCAGUAUUGAUUCCCUUUCAUGAAAACCAUAUUUAUACUGAAAUUGUCCAAGAACCUCAGAGCACAUAUAAAGGCUGUGUUGAAAUAAUUACAUGCCUCUGUUUUUUGGAAAAAGUAUCCAAAAUAUAUAAGCUCAUUGUUUGAGUUAAUAAAAACAUCUGUUGUUUCACAUGAUGGCUCUAGUCUUAAUAUAACAUGGCAAAAUAAUACCCCCUAAAUAUCCAUGAUUAACCUGAAUUGCAGAAGGCU
ensembl:lncRNA